rnacentral:rRNA from 1 species
UAGGGAAUCUUCCGCAAUGGACGCAUGUCUGACGGAGCAACGCCGCGUGAGUGAAGAAGGAUUUCGGUUCGUAAAACUCUGUUGUUAGAGAAGAACAGCGCAUAGAGUAACUGUUCUGCGUGUGACGGUAUCUAACCAGAAAGCCACGGCUAACUACGUGCCAGCAGCCGCGGUAAUACGUAGGUGGCAAGCGUUGUCCGGAUUUAUUGGGCGUAAAGCGAGCGCAGGCGGUCAAUUAAGUCUGAUGUGAAAGACCCCGGCUCAACCGGGGAGGGUCAUUGGAAACUGGUGGACUUGAGUGCAGAAGAGGAGAGUGGAAUUCCAUGUGUAGCGGUGAAAGGCGUAGAUAUAUGGAGGAACACCAGUGGCGAAGGCGACUCUCUGGUCUGUAACUGACGCGGAGGCUCGAAAGCGUGGGUAGCAAACAGG